UGCAAUUGAAUAUUACUAACAUUUUUUGUGGAACACAAGUCUUUUUGUGGUGCCUGAAUUCCUUAUUGUUCAGUUCGUCAAAGUUUUUGAAGCAUUUUGGGCACACAUUGGCUCCUCGCUUGUUAUUAUGGUUAUUAUUGAACACCAUCUAGCACAAAAUUAAAAUAGGUUAAAUACAUAAAUUUACUGCAUAUUCCAAGACUGU
rnacentral:lncRNA from 1 species